UAAAUGAUGAGAACACAUGGACAUGAAG
rnacentral:piRNA from 1 species